CAUUGAUAUGGCCAAAGAUUGCGUUUAAGCGAUAUAUACUUCUCAGGUUUGCAUUUAUUCAUUUAUUGUGUGGUGUUGAACGAAGCAAAACGAUGAACAAGCCUUUGGUAUUAUGUGCUGUUGUUCUAAUAGCAUCAGGUAUGUCUGAAGGCCGUGCAGUUUUCGAACACAGAUUUGGCGUGGCGGAGGGGGAAGCAUGCGGCGUGUUUACUGUGUGCGAGCCCGGACUAUCUUGCCUACCCUCACCAGGGAUAGGUUCCGGCCGUUGUAGAAUACCGGAUAUGAUAUUUUAAAUCUUGAUGGAAGAAGAAAACAUCGCCACAAUGAUUUGAUAACCUGAAACAAACGUUAACCUGUAAACGGAUAUGUGCUGCUUUUUUGUUUACAAAGUUUACAUUGUGUCAUAUGACACGUUAUUUGUGUUUAUUAGAACUGUGUAAACUAAACAUGUCAAACAUGUCCAUAUGAUUUUGUCACAAUUUACAGUCAACAAUUAUUCAAGAAAGGACAAUGUCAUUUAGUGAUAAGUUUUACCAAUGUUUAUCAUAAUAAAAUUGCA